GAGCCGCACCCUCGGCAUAUGAAGGUUCCCAGGUUAGGGGUCAAAUUGGAGCUACAGCUGCCAGCCUACACCACAGCCACAGCGACGCAGGAUCUGAGACCCAUCUACACCACAGCUCAAGGCAACACCAGAUCCUUAACCCACUGAGCGAGGCCAGGGAUCAAACCCGCAACCUCAUGGUUCCUAAUCAGAUUCAUUUCCCCUGCGCCACGAGGGGAACUCCAGCACAGAGCAAUCUACCCAGAAUUCUGUGAUUAUCUAUGGGGAAAAAGAAUCUGAGAAAGAAUGGAUAUGUGUAUGUGUGUGGCUGGGUCACUUUGUUGUACAGCAGCAAUUAUCACAACCUUGUAAAUCAACUGUACUUCAGAUGCAGAAGAAAUUCCUUUCAUGGCUCAAGCUGAGAAAGGUUGGACUUGGCCUCAACAAUAUUUUAAAUCUAGUAAUUAAUCUUAGUAUUUUCAUUAUUGCCCCCCAGAGAAAUCAGAUAUAAAUGUGCGUGCGCCUCCUUUUGUGCAAAUGUAUUACCUGUUAAAAGUUUUAUUUUAACUUGAAGAAAACAUAAGCUUGAGCCCUAUCCUAUGUAUUGUAUUCCUUCCAGAACAGUUUGGUUAAAAACUGCAAGGUUGCAUCAGAUUUUGUUACUACAUGGCAAAUGAUCUGGCAACACUUCUUGUUCUGAAUCACAACAAACACUGCCACAGGCGCCAAUGUUGCUGUUUCUUUAAGUACAUGACCUUGUCCAGGAAAUGGGAAGUGGACAGCCCUAGAAUAGCCUUGAGGAAAUGUUUGUGUUAUGGAAACUUCUGCGGGGAUAACAUGGUACAUUUCCUAAGACCCAGGUAAAAGCAGAAGCGAGAGAAAGACGGUCUCAGCUGCUUCCCAGGGAUUGUUCCUGCACUGAAAACCGUGUCUCCCUGGCUCACUGAAUGGGGAAGGGACUUGGGACAUGGGGACCAAUCUGUCUAACUUCAGUGGAGUUGGACCGGUGCUUAAAAUAGGCACAAGGGCACUGGACCCAGCUUUUUGAAGUCUUUCUGUUGGUCGCAGACACCUCCUCUGUGAUGUUUGACAUUCGCUCUUCAGCUGGAAGGUCCUUUUGAAUCGUAUAGCUAUGAAGAACCAUAUUUCCUCCAGUCCAGCUUAACCCCUUCGUCUGUAACCGCCAGCAUGAUGCCUUCACUUUCUCACUUUGACUUGGAACUCUUAGGUACCACCUUCAGAGUCCUUCAAUACAAAGAGGUACUGAAAUGGCUGAGGCUGUGUAACGUCACAAGUCAAUACUCAGGUUAACUAGUACUUCCAGGAGGAGGCAGUUCUUGUCCUGAUGUUGCCCCAAACCGGUCCCCUCAGACCACUCCUGGGAACCCUGUCACAGUUGCUUGCGCUGUUUCCCCCCUUCAAUUUUAAUACAUAUUAGCAAAAACGAAAUGAGAUUUUUCAUGGAGGUAAUUUCAAUUUCUGCCCAAAGAUGGGCAGAGAAAGCAGCAUGAUACUUUGCCAGCUGCAGCUUUAGCACUUUGAUGGAAGGAUGCAAGCACACUCUUUAUCUCUUUAUGGAUCACAAAGGCCUGAACUAAUUAGUACUUAUUAGAAAGCCAAUUAGAAAUACAUUUUAUUUCUCCGUGUGGUGUAAACGGAAUAUACCAAGGUGGAUUGCGGGCUGGGAUACCCUCUACAGCACUAAAGCCCAGAUAGAGAAUCGGGGUCUGCAAAGCACUGCACACAGAGUGGGGGUUAUUUUCACCCCAUAAGUCUGGAAGCGUGAGAAUCUCUUUCUUAGAUGCGAUAUGGACCCAACGCUAUGCAAAUGCUGAGUCUGCUGCUAGGAGCCCUGUGCUUUGGGUAAUGAGUAUCCUUUGCCAAUUUUAGCCUAACAGCCUAGCAUUCCAACAGACCUCUCUUUGGUAAUAUUUCCUUUUCAUUCUCAUUUUCUUCGUGCUCAACCUUGCGCCUCCUGGAUUUCCUUUAAAUGAUUUUUCCACCCCCAUAGUUAAACAUAGACGGCAUCUGCUUUUGAGAACCUUCCAUCAUCUUCUUCUCUGACAGCCCUCUUAUUCAGUUAUCCGUAAGUGCAAAAUCAGGGUUGACGUAUCUCCCACACUCCCUUUAACCACUCUAUCCCAGACUGACCUAUGUGGGCUCCUGAUUUCUCUAAGGGAUCUUCACCAGGUGGCCAGCUGAUGAAUCCAAAGGAGCCAUAUUCUUCCACAAAUUUCCCAUUCACUCAGUUGAUAUUAGAAUGCUAAUGGCUAUUUACUAAAUACAAAAUUCAUUAUAUACCAUAUGUAGGUAUGUAUAUAUCCAUCCAUCCAUUCAUGCAUCUACAGCUCUAUCAUCUACAUUCUAUUUAUUUACCGUCAUCUUUCUAUCAUCUAUCUCUCUUUUUCUCAUCUAUACAAGCUUUGAUAACAGUCUAUGUAUUAUACGGCCUAGGAAUUUGGAAGGGGGAUGGCUUUUCCUAUCAUAUGCUUCUUUUGAUUCAGACGCAGCAGGUAAGCCCUUUCUGGCUCUCCACUCAUGACCUGGAUCUGUAUGCAUUUAACUUAGGUGUCACCUCUCCCCUCACUGGACUGUUUCUUAUUACCCAGCACUGUGCCCAUUUCGAAAUGGACAUCCUAAGCUCAGGUGCAUCCAUGUGGACAAAGGAUACCUGAUAGUUCUCAGAAGUACUUGCUCAGGGCCUUGGCUCUCCCCCACUGUUAGUGCUGAGCUGACUAAGCCAUCUGCUAGCCUGCUUUCUUUUCUUGUACUCUUUGGGGCCUCCCAUGUGUCAUUCUGAAAGCCACCACUGCUACCCACUAAAUUGCUUUCUGCUGCUCAUAUUCUUUAUUGCCUUUGUCUUAUUUUAGAAUCUUACAUAGCUCUCAUCCUUCACCCACCUUUGAGCUUAAACAGAAUUGGUCCAGUUCUAUGGGUCACUCUUUAUGAUUAUUCAAAAUGAAAUGAAAGCUUUAGCACAGAAAGGUCUAAUAAAGAGAGUUACUUAUUUUAUCCUGUAAUAUCACUGCUUUUUUUUUUUUCUGGGGGGAGGGUGUGGUAGGGACAGGUUUUCAAGGUUUGUGAUUCUAAACAAAAAUGCCCAAGAAAUUCUAUUACCCAUAAAGUACAAAAUAAACAGACUUCUACAGAAAAGGCACAUCCUUAUGCCCCCAAUAUUGCCUUCAAUGCACUGGCCGCUUGGCUGACAUUUACACUGGUAUUUUCUUCUAGUUUUUCCAUGAAAUUUGCUUCCCCCCUUUUAAGGGCGUCUCCAUCAUAUCACUUUAUUAUAAGUAGGAAUCAAUCACAUGUCUCUUCUUAGAUCAGUUACCAAAUAAUAUAUGGAACCUCAUCUAUCCCUAAAAUCCACCCUCACUUUUCAAUCUAGGGCAUUUAAAUACGCUUUUUUUUUUUUUUUAAUCCCUUCUCGUGUAUCUUCAUUUUAGACAGUCCAAGUUUUGUGUCCAUCUUUUGUCAACUAAUGGGCACAAGUGAAUUAAUGAUCCUUGAAAGAAAACCUGGGACCAGGUUUUUGAGUCAUUCCUGAUGCAGAGAUUCUUCUAGCAUUCCCUGAACUUCAAAACCCUCUCUAAUGAGAAGAAGGUUCCAAUAAAAGCUGGGUUCACUUGCCACAAAUUAGAAGUGUAAUUCUUGGAGUUCCCUUGUGGUGCAAUGGGUUAAGGAUCCAGCAUUGUCACUGCUGUGAUGUGGGACCUUCCACAUGCUGCAGGCGUGGCUGAGAAAAAAGAAAAGAGGUGUAAUUCUUUCUCUUUUCAAAGACUUAGGCAUUUGGCCAUUGGAAUCUCAACAAGGAGGACUCCAGCUGUACAAAAAAUUCACACUUUCCUGUAUUAAAUAUUAUUCACUGUUAAAAUUUUAUUCCCAGCCCAGAUCCUUGCUGCUGUAUGGUUCACUGAUAUUGCAUUCUCUAUACAUAACCUCCAGCCUUACCCUCAGCUGCUCUAUGACCGAUCCUUCAGGCUUCAAGAAUGACCUGUGAGUGUGAGGGCCAUUUUCUCCCCACUUUCCUCUGCUGGGUGAUUGGAAGGGUUUUCCCGGGUUUGCGACGCAGCUCCUCCCAGAUCACUCAGAUCCAAGUCACUCCUGCUACUGGAAUCAGAGUUAGCGCCCGAGAUACACAGAGCCCUUAGAUUUGCACAAUUUUUCUGAAAGCAGGGGUGGAUGGUCAAAGCAGGGGUGGAUUUUAUGACCCCCUGGGAAAUAGGACUGCUGCUGUACUGUCAUUUCCUGAGUAACGAAAAAUGCAUUUUUGGUAUUUAUCAGAGCAUGAUUCAACUAUAACUGAUCCUCAGUUGUAGUUUUAAUUAUACAUACUUGGUUUUACUUUUUUUUUUUUUUUUUUCUUUCCUGCCAUGCUCAUGGCAUUUGGAGGUUCCAGGGCCGGGGAUCAUCCAAUCUGAGCUGUAGCUACAGCAAAGCCAGGUCCUUAACCCACUGCAGGAACUCUAGUCAUAACUUUUUUUUUUUUUUUUUUUUUUUUGAGAUGGAAGUGAAUUUAUAAACUAACUUGGGAAACAUUACAUUCUUAUGAUAUUG
rnacentral:lncRNA from 1 species